GAGAGAGACUGAUCGAGAGAGAGAGAGAGAGAGAGAGAGACAGCAACUCUGAGACAAAGGAAAACACCCAAAUACCCAAAUCGUUGAUCCCGAUUGUGCCACUACUGAUUCUUCCGUGUCUUCUACUUUUGCAGCCAUCAUCUGCUCGGUCGUUGAAUUCUUCUAUCUCUACAGUCGUGUAACCAAGAUUGAGAGAUUUUGUGAUCGGUGGGUUAUAGUUUGAAAAAUGGUGAGAGCAUUUCUCAGUUCGUGUAGAGGGGGCUGGGUUAUUCGGUUUUGUUCUGGUCGAGAGGAAGACGAAUUUGGGUUAGUGGUUUAAGUCUGCAAUGGUACCCUGAAGGAAAACAGGAGAGAAAGAGCCCACAGCACAGAAAGCUUUGUCUUGGGGAGCUUAACAAACCACCACUUCCAGUUUGUGCUAUCUCCACAGCUUUAAGAAACAAUGAAAUCUAUACUCAUCAAUGAGAUAGCAAUUCCAGCUCCAGCAUUUUGUGCAACUGCAAUGACUGCUGGUAACUAAUAGUUUGGAUCAACUCCAACAUUUUGUCAACCACAAUUGGAGCAGCCACUUUUUUACACCUGCUCCAGCAACAACUUUUGCUACGCUGGCUUAGAACUAAACCUUUUGGAAAGUUACAACUGAAGCUGCUAAACCUGUUGUACAACUAGCAUUUCUAAACCAACUUCAGUGACAACUUUGUUAACCUAUUUUUUUCAUACACUUCUGUUACGUUAACGUUUUUGUAUAAAAAAAUCUUUCACUGUUUCAAUAGAAUGCAAUAAUUUUCCUUUUGUA
rnacentral:lncRNA from 1 species